rnacentral:rRNA from 1 species
AUUGAACGCUGGCGGCAGGCCUACCAUAUGCAAGUCGUGCGAGCGGCGGACGGGAGAGUACUGGCUGGGAAACGGCCGGAUGGAGGGGGAAAACUACGGGAAACGGUAGCUAAUACGGCAUUCCAUCAAUUGUGCCAAGAUGGGAUUAGCUAGUAGGUGGGGUACCGGCUCACCUAGGCGACGAUCCCUAGCUGGUCUGAGAGGAUGACCAGCCACACUGGAACUGAGACACGGUCCAGACUCCUACGGGAGGCAGCAGUGGGGAAUAUUGCACAAUGGGCGCAAGCCUGAUGCAGCCAUGCCGCGUGUGUGAAGAAGGCCUUCGGGUUGUAAAGCACUUUCAGCGGGGAGGCGUUACCCGCAGAAGAAGCACCGGCUAACUCCGUGCCAGCAGCCGCGGUAAUAC